rnacentral:rRNA from 1 species
CAGGGAAUCUUGCACAAUGGGCGAAAGCCUGAUGCAGCGACGCCGCGUGGGGGAUGAAGGCCUUAGGGUCGUAAACCCCUUUCAGCAGGGACGAAAAUGACGGUACCUGCAGAAGAAGCCCCGGCCAACUACGUGCCAGCAGCCGCGGUAAUACGUAGGUGACGAGCGUUGUCCGGAUUUACUGGGCGUAAAGAGCGCGCAGGCGGUCGUUCAAGUCGAGUGUGAAAGCCCCCGGCUCAACUGGGGAGGGUCACUCGAUACUGAUCGACUCGAAGGCAGGAGAGGGAAGUGGAAUUCCCGGUGUAGUGGUGAAAUGCGUAGAUAUCGGGAGGAACACCAGUGGCGAAGGCGACUUCCUGGCCUGUUCUUGACGCUGAGGCGCGAAAGCUAGGGGAGCAAACGGGAUUAGAUACCCCCGUAGUCCCUGAGCGGGCUGGCAAGGCGCAU